rnacentral:rRNA from 1 species
UGGGGAAUAUUAGUCAAUGGGGGAAACCCUGAACUAGCAACGCCGCGUGAAGGAAGAAGGUCUUCGGAUUGUAAACUUUUGUCUUCAGGGAAGAAAUAAAUGACGGUACCUGAGGAGGAAGCCACGGCUAACUACGUGCCAGCAGCCGCGGUAAUACGUAGGUGGCAAGCGUUGUCCGGAAUUACUGGGUGUAAAGGGUGCGUAGGCGGGUAUGUAAGUCAGGUGUGAAAUUCCGAGGCUCAACUUCGGAACUGCAUUUGAAACUACAUAUCUUGAGUGAAGGAGAGGUAAGUGGAAUUCCCAGUGUAGCGGCGAAAUGCGUAGAUAUUGGGAGGAACACCAGUGGCGAAGGCGACUUACUGGACUUUAACUGACGCUGAUGCACGAAAGCGUGGGUAGCAAACA